UACGUAGGGUGCAAGCGUUGUCCGGAAUUAUUGGGCGUAAAGAGCUCGUAGGCGGUCUGUCGCGUCGGCUGUGAAAACCCGGAGCUCAACUCCGGGCCUGCAGUCGAUACGGGCAAACUGGAGUGUUGCAGGGGAGACUGGAAUUCCUGGUGUAGCGGUGAAAUGCGCAGAUAUCAGGAGGAACACCGGUGGCGAAGGCGGGUCUCUGGGCAACAACUGACGCUGAGGCACGAAAGCGUGGGGAGCAAACAGG
rnacentral:rRNA from 1 species